CCGAACCUCAUCCCCCACUCCUCGUUGUGAGAGAGAGAAAGAGAGAGAAACCCCCUUCUGCCCUUUUGCCCCUGCAAAUCUCUCUUCCGAUCCUUUUUCCCAUUCACCCUCCCAUCUUUUCCUGAAAUCCCUUCCAUAUCCCUCUCCCAUCUCUCCCUCCAAAAACCCUCCGCAAAACCCCAGCUUCUUUCCUCCCUUCGAUUUGAACCCUAAACCCAGAUCAGAUCCCUUUCCAGCCUUUGGAUCUCUCACCCCCCAGCUUCGAAUCUCCGUUCCAGAAUCUGUUUCUGUCGAGAGAUCGAAGCUUCUAGAGCUUCCAUUGCUCCUCUACAAUGGGGCUGAUUUCCAUUCUCGAGAAUUUGGGUUUUUCUGCAAGAUUAUUGCCUUCAUCGCCGAUUUCUUCCUGAUGUAUUUUUCUAGAUCGAAUUUCGUAUUCUUCGUUUGGUCUUAGCAGGAUUGAUUGAAUUCCAUGUAUCGGUUGGAGAAUUCGAGCGAAAUCCGGCGGACAGCUGCGGAAGACGAAUCAUUCGGGUAGAGAAGGAGGCGAUUUUACGGCUUUUUAUUUGGUUUGAGAAUUUUGCUGUAUUUGAAUUUUUGGUGGUUUGGUUUUGUUGAUGGCUAAUCACGACUUGGUUCUUGGGAACCAUGAUUUAGCACUUGGGCGUAAUCGUAAUUUGGUUCUUGGAUCAACCCGUGAUCAUGAUCUCCGUAUCAGACAUGCCCAUGACCGUGACAGAUCUCUUGGACAGACCCAUGAUCACAACCACAACCACAACCACAACCAUGGCAGUUCGGACCCCACUCAUGAUCAUGAAUUGGGUCUUGCCGGGCAGUCCCACGAGCUAGAUAUGGCUGAAAACCAUGAAUUGAGCAUUUCGGAGAAUCACGAGUUGGGUGUUGAUCAGAGUCUAGAGCUGACUGUCGAUCAGAACCAGGAUCUGGCCAUCCAAUCUUCUCAGGAAGUCACUGUGGCUCACUCCCAACUGGUCGUCACUCCUGUCCUUCAGAGCCGUGCAGUUGUCCCGCAACCUAACAAUGAGCUAACAGUUGGGCAGGAGUUUCCGGACGUCAUAAGCUGUAGACGUGCAUUGAGAAAUGCAGCCAUCGCUCUUCACUUUGAGAUACAGACGGUGAAGUCCGACAAGACCCGUUUCACUGCCAAGUGUGCGAGCGAGGGAUGCCCGUGGCGGAUACACGCCGCAAAGCUUCCAGGUGUCCCGACCUUCACGAUCAGGACCAUCCAUGAGGCGCAUACAUGUGGAGGGAUCACCCAUCUUGGCCAUCAGCAAGCAUCGGUCCAAUGGGUUGCCAGCUCCGUCGAGGAACGGUUGCGCGAGAACCCAAAUUGCAAGCCAAAGGAGAUUUUGGAAGAGAUCCAUCGGGUCCACGGUAUCACCUUAUCAUACAAGCAAGCAUGGCGAGGAAAGGAGCGGAUCAUGGCAACUGUUCGCGGGUCAUUUGAAGAAGGGUAUCGUCUUCUUCCACAAUACUGUGACCAGAUUAAACGGACAAACCCGGGAAGCAUUGCAUCAGUCUACGGGAACCCGGUGGAUAACUGCUUCCAACGCCUUUUUGUCUCGUUUCACGCAUCAAUCUUUGGCUUUGUGAAUGCCUGCCGGCCACUUCUUGGGCUUGAUCGGACACUUCUCAAAAGCAAGUAUCUUGGGACCUUGCUUUUUGCCACCGGUUUUGAUGGAGAUGGAGCUCUGUUUCCUUUGGCAUUUGGGGUUGUUGAUGAGGAAAACGACGAUAACUGGAUGUGGUUUUUAUCUGAACUACAUAACCUGCUCGAGGUCAAUACAGAGAACAUGCCGAGGCUCACAAUAUUAUCUGAUAGGCAGAAAGGCAUUGUAGAAGGAGUGGAAUGUAAUUUCCCAACCGCAUUUCACGGGUUCUGCAUGCGCCAUCUUAGUGAUAGCUUCCGCAAAGAGUUCAAUAAUACGAUGCUCGUUAACCUCCUCUGGGAAGCUGCCCAUGCCUUGACAGUCAUUGAGUUCGAAGCCAAGAUACUAGAGAUUGAAGAAAUUUCGCGAGAUGCUGCUUAUUGGAUCCGGCGCAUUCCGCCCCGUCUCUGGGCAACAGCAUAUUUUGAGGGAACACGGUUUGGGCAUCUGACCGCGAAUAUAGUUGAAUCAUUGAAUAGUUGGAUACUGGAGGCAUCUGGACUACCGAUAAUUCAGAUGAUGGAGUGUAUCCGUCGCCAGCUAAUGACAUGGUUCAAUGAACGGCGAGAAACGAGCAUGCAGUGGACAACGAUACUCGUGCCAUCAGCUGAAAGGCGAGUGUCGGAAGCCCUUGAAUGUGCACGCAGCUUUCAGGUGCUUCGCGCAAAUGAAGCGGAGUUUGAAGUUAUCUCUCAUGAAGGAACAAAUAUUGUUGAUAUCCGAAACCGUUGUUGUCUAUGUCGUGGGUGGCAGCUCUACGGCUUGCCUUGUGCACAUGCCGUUGCAGCACUCCUCUCGUGCCGGCAAAAUGUCCAUCGGUUCACUGAGAGUUGUUUCACCCUUGCGACGUAUCGCAAGACCUACUCACAGACUAUACAUCCGGUCCCAGAUAAAAGCCUUUGGAAGGAGUUGACUGAGGGAACACAAAACGGAGGCAAUGGUGUUGAUAUUGUCAUAAAUCCACCCAAGUCUCUUCGACCGCCAGGACGGCCAAGAAAGAAGCGGGUUCGUGCAGAGGACCGUGGCCGGAUAAAGCGAGUAGUACAUUGUAGCCGUUGUAACCAGACGGGGCAUUUUAGAACAACAUGUGCAGCACCUAUAUAAGUCUUCUCUGUUGAGUCAACAGUGCACUCUUCAUUGGCAAAUUGGUGAUGGCAGAAUGACUGGCCAAUCUUAAAGAAUCAUUGGGCCUUUAGCCUCAGCAAAUCUAUCCUUUGCAGUGGCGCAGGAUUUCCUGAAUGUGAGGCCCAUGGUCCGUGAUCCAGACUAUUGAUCUGAUGGCCGCUACCAUGGAUUGAACCCUCGAAAAUCUUCCAGAUUGGAAGAUCCUAAUCUCAUCUGAUCAAUGGUCUGAUCCACCGAAUUAUGGGCAUCCUACAUAUAAAAAGUCUCUUGACCCCACAAAAUAUGCUUUUGCUCAGAGCUGAUAUUGGACUGGCCUGACUUUUGGGAGCAAAUGGUGUGGACUUCACACACGCUGACACUUUAGACAUAUGCUGUGAAUUGCUUUGAUCUCUUGCAAAUUUCCCCAGCACUUCAUAUAAUGGAAUUUUUACUACUACAUGUUUGUUAUUCUUGAACAGAUUCUUUCAGGUGUCUGGUAAUCCUCAACACGGUUUUCUGUAAUCUUAUUCUGACUAUAGCAUCUGUUUUUUCUC